rnacentral:lncRNA from 1 species
GUGCGUGUUGCGGUGGUUCUGCCUGGCCACCGGGGGGCAGCGCUGGGCUGAAACACGCAUCUUCUACGCAGUGGAGCUGGAGGGAGGCGGCAGUGCUGCCAGAGCUCUGGCCCAAAAACACGGCCUGCACUUCAUCUCACGGAUUGGGAAUCUGGAGGGGCAUUACACACUCAAAGGCAAUGCCAGCAGCCCAACACUGGACCGCACACUGGCUCUCCACACUGGGGUGAAGUGGGUCCAGAGGCAGAGCACACACCACAGGGCGAGAAGAGCCGCUACAGCAGCCCUGCACAACAACACACACUACAGUCAGUACAGCUGUGUGUGUGUGUAUGUGUGUGUGUGUGUGUGUGUUUGUGCAUGUCUGUGUG